GUAAUAUAUCGGAACGUGCCCAGUCGUGGGGGAUAACGUAGCGAAAGUUACGCUAAUACCGCAUACGAUCUACGGAUGAAAGCGGGGGACCGUAAGGCCUCGCGCGAUUGGAGCGGCCGAUAUCAGAUUAGGUAGUUGGUGGGGUAAAGGCUCACCAAGCCAACGAUCUGUAGCUGGUCUGAGAGGACGACCAGCCACACUGGAACUGAGACACGGUCCAGACUCCUACGGGAGGCAGCAGUGGGGAAUUUUGGACAAUGGACGCAAGUCUGAUCCAGCCAUUCCGCGUGCAGGAUGAAGGCCCUCGGGUUGUAAACUGCUUUUGUACGGAACGAAAAGGUCUCUAUUAAUACUGGGGGCUCAUGACGGUACCGUAAGAAUAAGCACCGGCUAACUACGUGCCAGCAGCCGCGGUAAUACGUAGGGUGCAAGCGUUAAUCGGAAUUACUGGGCGUAAAGCGUGCGCAGGCGGUUAUGUAAGACAGAGGUGAAAUCCCCGGGCUCAACCUGGGAACUGCCUUUGUGACUGCAUAGCUAGAGUACGGUAGAGGGGGAUGGAAUUCCGCGUGUAGCAGUGAAAUGCGUAGAUAUGCGGAGGAACACCGAUGGCGAAGGCAAUCCCCUGGACCUGUACUGACGCUCAUGCA
rnacentral:rRNA from 1 species